rnacentral:misc_RNA from 1 species
GAUGAAGAACGCAGCGAAAUGCGAUAAGUAAUGUGAAUUGCAGAAUUCAGUGAAUCAUCGAAUCUUUGAACGCACAUUGCGCCCGCCAGUAUUCUGGCGGGCAUGCCUGUUCGAGCGUCAUUACAACCCUCAGGCCCCCGGGCCUGGCGUUGGGGAUCGGCGGAAGCCCCCUGCGGGCACAACGCCGUCCCCCAAAUACAGUGGCGGUCCCGCCGCAGCUUCCAUUGCGUAGUAGCUAACACCUCGCAACUGGAGAGCGGCGCGGCCACGCCGUAAAACACCCAACUUCUGAAUGUUGACCUCGAAUCAGGUAGGAAUACCCGCUGAACUUAAGCAUAUCAAUAAGCGGA